GAGCGCGCGCCACGCCGGGCCCGCCUCGAAGUCCAGGGGCCGCGCCAGGUACAAGCGCCCGGAGGCCGCGUCCAGCGCGAAAGUGCCCUCCGGGUCCGCGCCGCCCACCAGUGUGUAGGGCCCAGCAGAGUGCCAGGCUUACAGUGGGAUGCAUGCCAAACACCAGCUGCCCUAGAGCGAUGCAAAUGGGGACCUGUGACUUGGGAUACAGUUUCCAAUGACUGCAUCACAAAUGGAUUCAAAUUGUGCUGUGUCCUCUCCGAAAUUCUCCACGUAGACUGAAGAGAAGAUCAUCUGUUCUGGAAAAUAGUGCGUGAGGAGGCACCGGGCAGCAUCAUUGCUUGGUUGCAGGCUGCUCUGAGACUGAGCCCCCGUUCAAAUGCUCAUGAGAGACCACAGUCAUUAGCACUCUUCAGUAGAGCCCAGCCCUGGAGAAAGUGAGAAGGAGUAUUAAAAAAAUGGCCAGAGGGCUUCCCUGGUGG